rnacentral:misc_RNA from 1 species
AUGGUUAGCGUUGUUGAGUUGCGAGGGGUGUUAGCGUUGUUGAGAGUAGAGUUGUUAGCGUUGUGGAAUUGCGUGAGUUACUAGCGUAGCUGAGAGGUUGAGUUGUUGGCGUUGUCCAGUUGCGAGAGUGAUCGAAUUAGAGUAAGAUUGUCAUAAUUAGUUCCAUAUUAAAUAACCAUCGUUUUCUGUCUCAUUAAUAUCUGUAUAACUAAUUUAUUGUAUAUAAAUUACAAAUAAUAAAUAGUAUCAAAGAAAUUGUAUACCUAAUAUUUCCGCGAUACUACAGUAUUAUAUAAAAAGAAGAAAUGGAAGAGCAGUGGAGACAGGAGGAGUGCAGUACGAUAACGAAAGAUGUCACCAGGACGAAAACUGGAAGCUAGCAAAGAAUAACAAAGAAGGUAAAAUAACUCCAGACACAAGUGCCGCAGGAAACCUAGAUACAGAAAAGCAGAGAUGGCUGCAAGAAUUACCAUUAAGAACCUUCUUCAGCUCACUAACGGAAGAAAUAGACGCUAACCCGACAAGUAAAACCACAACUCAUUCAACUCACAUUACAAAACCACCACCAAAAUUUGUUGAGGCCCAAAUAAUAGACCCGCUUAUUAAUUAUUAAACAAUAUAGUCGGGAAGGACAAUUACACAAUAAAACAAACAAAAUUAGAACAAGUAAAGAUUCAAACAAACACCCCAGAAAUUUAUAGGAAAGUGUUAAUAUAACGGAUAAUGAUACAACAUUGAAAGCACAAUAUGAACCAAACGCUAUAAACAGAAACACUGAUCCCCAAGAUAACCGAAGUUAUGCACAAAUAACCCAAAGCAUUAGCCAAGCAAAUCGCCUCCUCAAAUGUAUACAAGGGAUAUCUACUCUACAAUAAUUUGCAUGGAUUUCACUCAUGUUUUCUUUU